rfam:Felis catus isolate Cinnamon breed Abyssinian chromosome F2, whole genome shotgun sequence.
GCCUGGGUGGCUUAGUCGGUUAAGCGUCUGACUCUUGAUUUUGGCUCAGGUCAUGAUCUCACGGUUUGUGAGUUUGAGCCCCACUUCAGGCU